rnacentral:lncRNA from 1 species
AUACGAUUUAGAUUUUCUGUUGUGUGGUAUUUGUCUACUAUUAUAGAACCUCAAGCAUUUCUCUAAAGAAAACUCUUACACAUCUUGGUGUUGUGGUUUCAUGUCCACCCUAAUGAGAAAAGUUCUUCCUUAGUAGGGUCAUGUUUCCUGAGGAACCCCUACCCUAGAUUUAUCCCAUAGUAGGUCUUAUAAAUAAUAUCCACAUACUAAAAUUAUUUGGCUUCUAAUGUUAAGUUUUACACUAAUAUUGUAAAAGUAACUCUACAGUCAAAAAUUGUAAUAUUUAAAUAAGAAUAAUCUGCCAUCCGAGCCAUUAGCCUUUAGCAUCUGUGUUAUAUUUUAAAAUGCCUGCAAAAAUUGUCUAUGCGUAAACAAGUUGUUUUUAGUUAUACUGUGGCUUAUUUGGUUGGCAUGAAAAUUAGAUUGCUUUGCAUAUCUGGGGUAGCAUAACCAGUUUUAUCAGUGGCUAGAUUAUAUCAGAUGACAAAAAUAACAUGAGACUUCAGAAGUCUGAUAAAUAAAGUGAUGAUACCUAUUAGAACUUCUUUUUCAUUGAUACUGUUUUAUUUGCCGUAUUUGAAGGACUAUUUAAACUAUUUAAAGCUACAGUCACACUUCCCCUGCUCUGAAGAAGGGCUAAGGAAAGGCAGUGGGAAUAAAGAAUUCUUUUUCUACUGCAUUGUAUGAGUUGUCUAGGACAAGGAAAUCAGACAGCUCCCAGCAUACCCAUUGUCAGAGUUCCCUGGCACAACUUCAGAAUUGUAUUCAAAAGUAUUUUCACAACAGUAGGCACCCACUUAAUUAAAUACAAGCACAUAAUCAAAAAAUAGAUAUAAAUAUUUAGUUAUCACCAAGGUCUUAGCUUCCUUUCUCUAAAUGCAAACCAGGGCCAUCUGAGCAUACAUUAAGAAAUGCAGAAGAAUUAUUGGAAUGGCCUUUUGAUCCCAAGAGAUAUGGCACAGAGACGUUUAGAGAAGUGUGCCACAUGAUCUUCUCAGGAACAUGGGAAAGGCACCAGGACCAGAGUGAGGCAGAGGUUGACAUUAACUGAAGUUUGCCAUCUCAUCUUCACUCUGCCCUCCCUGGCCCAAGCUAUCUCCAUCAAGUUAAGAAAGACCUGAACUAGAAAGGAGUGGAAGAGACGUUAAAGCCACGCUCUCACUGAUUAUUGAACAAACAGGAUGGUUCAUCUCCCUCCUAUGGAAGAGAAAGGGCUACUGAUGUUAAACUCUACAAAUGAGUUGAAAACCAUUGAAAUGAACUCUGGAAGUCAAGCCCCUCUGAUUAAUACUUAUCUAAGUGAGAUUACCUGUUUUGCAAUAACAGGUCAUUGGUUGCAACCCAAGAUGGUGGAGUUAGGGGAUCUAGGGGAGCUGCAAAGUUAGGUCAAUAAUAAACCGUUAGAAAGCCAUGAAUUACACAGUCAUGGAGUCAGGACCCCAUUAUAAUAUCAUAGUGGUUCUUCUGCAAUCAACUGACAAUGAUGUAGUCUCAUGUUCACAAAAAAGGACAGUUCCAAAAGCAGUCAGGUAAUUAUCAGCAUUAUUUAUCUGACUUUGUUUCCCAGCAUUUACACAGUGGUUUCC